AGCGAACGCUGGCGGCAGGCUUAACACAUGCAAGUCGAGCGGGCAUCCUUGUGGUGUCAGCGGCAGACGGGUGAGUAACGCGUGGGAACGUGCCCUUCGGUUCGGAAUAACUCAGGGAAACUUGAGCUAAUACCGGAUACGUGCGAGAGCAGAAAGGUUUAUCUGCCGAAGGAUCGGCCCGCGUCUGAUUAGCUAGUUGGUGAGGUUAUGGCUCACCAAGGCGACGAUCAGUAGCUGGUCUGAGAGGAUGAUCAGCCACACUGGGACUGAGACACGGCACGGACCCUGACGGGAGGAAGCGGUGGGGAAUAUGGAAGAAGGGGGGCAGCCUGGACCCUCCCGUGCGGCGGGAGGAAUGCGGCCUUUGGGGUGGAAAAGCUCUUUUGUCGGGGAGGAUAAUGACGGUACGGGAAGAAUAAGCCCCGGCUAACUUCGUG
rnacentral:rRNA from 1 species